AGGACGAAGUGACUGACACCACGCUUCCAGGAAAAGCCACUAAGCUUCAGCUGUAGAAAAACCGUACCGCAAACCGACACAGGUAGGCAGGGUGAGAAUCCCAAGGCGCUUGAGAGAACUCGGGUGAAGGAACUAGGCAAAAUGGCACCGUAACUUCGGGGGAAGGUGCGCCUCUUGGUGUGGUCACGUGCGUGACUGAGCAUCGAGGGGUCGCAGUAACCUGGCCGCUGCGACUGUUAUCAAAAACACAGCACUCUGCAAACACGAAAGUGGACGUAUAGGGUGUGACGCCUGCCCGGUGCUGGAAGGUUAAUUGAUGGGGUCAGCCGCAAGGCGAAGCUCUUGAUCGAAGCCCCAGUAAACGGCGGCCGUAACGAUAACGGUCCUAAGGUAGCGAAAUUCCUUGUCGGGUAAGUUCCGACCUGCACGAAUGGCGUAACGACAGCGGCGCUGUCUCCACCCGAGACUCAGUGAAAUUGAAAUCGCUGUGAAGAUGCAGCGUUCCCGCGGCAAGACGGAAAGACCCCGUGAACCUUUACUAUAGCUUUACACUGAACGUUGAGUUCUUCUGUGUAGGAUAGGUGGGAGGCUAUGAAACCAGGACGCUAGUUCUGGUGGAGCCAUCCUUGAAAUACCACCCUGAAGUGCUUGACGUUCUAACCUAGGUCCGUAAUCCGGAUCGGGGACCGUGUAUGGUGGGUAGUUUGACUGGGGCGGUCUCCUCCCAAAGAGUAACGGAGGAGCACGAAGGUACGCUCAGCGCGGUCGGACAUCGCGCACUGUGUGCAAUGCAUAAGCGUGCUUGACUGCGAGAUCGACGGAUCAAGCAGGUACGAAAGUAGGUCUUAGUGAUCCGGUGGUUCUGUAUGGAAGGGCCAUCGCUCAACGGAUAAAAGGUACUCCGGGGAUAACAGGCUGAUACCGCCCAAGAGUUCAUAUCGACGGCGGUGUUUGGCACCUCGAUGUCGGCUCAUCACAUCCUGGGGCUGUAGCCGGUCCCAAGGGUAUGGCUGUUCGCCAUUUAAAGUGGUACGCGAGCUGGGUUCAGAACGUCGUGAGACAGUUCGGUCCCUAUCUGUCGUGGGCGUUGGAGAUUUGAGGGGGGCUGCUCCUAGUACGAGAGGACCGGAGUGGACGUUCCGCUGGUGUUCGGGUUGUCAUGCCCAUGGCAUUGCCCGGUAGCUACGAACGGAAGUGAUAACCGCUGAAAGCAUCUAAGCGGGAAGCACGCCCCAAGAUGAGAUCUCCCGAGAGCUUGACUCUCCUAAAGGCACCAUCAAGACUAGGUGGUUGAUAGGCACGGUGUGGAAGUGCAGCAAUGCAUUGAGCUUACGUGUACUAAUGAGCCGUGAGGCUUGACC
rnacentral:rRNA from 1 species